rnacentral:lncRNA from 1 species
GGGGCAGAAAGAAGACAGACGCUUGGCUUAAGGUUUCCAAUCCUGAGUGAAACAGAGCAGGGCAUGAAGGGCAAGAGUGGAACUGAGAGAGAAGAGGAAAAUGACUGGCAAUAUACCCCAGCCUUAAGUCCCCACCUUAUGGCAGAAGAACCGAGGGGAAGGGGGAAGGAUGAGCAUUCAGAUGAGACCCCAGGCCUGGCUGACACCUUGAUAGCAGCCUCAUGAAGGACUGAAGCAAAGGAUCGAGCUAAGCCACACCCAGAUUCCUGCCCCCCUACCCCUAGACACGG